rnacentral:rRNA from 1 species
UACGUAGGGGGCUAGCGUUGUCCGGAAUCAUUGGGCGUAAAGCGCGUGUAGGCGGCCCGAUAAGUCCGCUGUGAAAGUCCAGGGCUCAACCCUGGGAUGCCGGUGGAUACUGUCGGGCUCGAGUCCGGAAGAGGCGAGUGGAAUUCCUGGUGUAGCGGUGAAAUGCGCAGAUAUCAGGAAGAACACCAAUGGCGAAGGCAGCUCUCUGGGACGGUACUGACGCUGAGACGCGAAAGCGUGGGGAGCGAACAGG